CCAAAAUGUGUAUAAUUACAAUCAAAUAAGCACUGUGGAGUUUCAGUUGUGAUGGCAGUAUGGAUAAAACUACCAAUUACAAGGUCUGGUUGAUGUGAAAGAUGAAGCAUGUCCCUUCCACUGACAACAGCUUCGGGAGCAGGAAUUCUUUGGGGUAUAUUACUGCUGAAUGAAAAUUAUCAUCAGCUUGCAAGCCUAAAUCUUGCUCCAUUUUUGUUUUGAAAGGAAAAAUAAGGCCACAAGGCGAAGGCAUUAGCACAACGUGUCUUUGCCUGUAGAAUCGAACAAGCACACAUUUAUGUAAUCAACA